AACGAACCCGACAAACGUUAUUCGGAAUUAUUGGGCUUAAAGGGUGCGUAGGCGGUGCGGUCAGUGCGGUGUGAAAGCCCACGGCUCAACCGUGGAAUUGCGCUGCAUACUGCCGUGCUGGAGGAAGACAGGGGUAAGCGGAACUGAUGGUGGAGCGGUGAAAUGCGUUGAUAUCAUCAAGAACACCGGUGGCGAAAGCGGCUUACUGGGUCUUUUCUGACGCUGAGGCACGAAAGCUAGGGUAGCGAACGGG
rnacentral:rRNA from 1 species